GACGAACGCUGGCGGCGUGCUUAACACAUGCAAGUCGAGCGGAGCGGCGAACGGGUGAGUAACGCGGGAGUAACUGCCCCCCUCUCUGGGAUAACAGUUGGAAACGGCUGCUAAUACCGGAUAGUGGGGGAUGAGUCGCGUCCUAUCAGCUUGUUGGUGGGGUAGUGGCCUACCAAGGCGACGACGGGUAGCCGGCCUGAGAGGGCGACCGGCCACAUAGGGCUGGGAUAGCAGCCGAGCUGCUACGGGAGGCAGCGGUGGAGGAUAGUGCAAGAUAGGGGAAGCCCGGAAGCAGGGACGCCGCGUGCGGGAUGUCGGUCUUCGGGUUGGAAACCGCUUUCAGCGAUGACGCGGUAGUGGAAGAAGAAGCACCGGCUAACUACGUGCCAGCCGCCGCGGUAAUAC
rnacentral:rRNA from 1 species